rfam:Carboxydothermus hydrogenoformans Z-2901, complete genome.
CUUUGUCAAAGGCAAACCCGGUGAAAGCCGGGGGCGCAAAGCUACAGGGGCUAAAGCUUAAAGCUAAGCCAGCCAGCUGCCAAA